rnacentral:lncRNA from 1 species
AAUUGUAUCAGAAAACUCAACAACAACAGAUAAAAUAUACGCCUAAUUUGGCCACAGUUCUAACUGCAGUAGUGAUCAUGUUUGGUUUGUCCGUAAGUAGAGGGGCAAAAGUGGCAUUUCAGAAAGUGGGGUCACUUUGAUAUAUAGUUUGGCUUCUUGAUGUUGAUAUAAAAAUCACUUUUUAAAAGUGGAUAGAAAAAGUGAAUUAUAACUAAAUUUUUUUUUUUUAUUUUGGCUCGAAAAAUUUGUAAGUCAUUGGAAGUAGGGAAUCUAUGUGAAGAGUUGGAAUUUGAUGGAGAAUAAAAAUAAAUUUUGUUUUUAAUAGUUAAUUUUUGAUGUCUGCUUAAGUUAUUUGAAUCUGAUCAGUAAA